ACUGCCCCCCCCCCCACUCAUCCCCGCUUUCAGUAUGCACUUCACUGACCUUAACGCUUUGAACCUAAUGCUGUUGCUCGCUCCACCGCCUGCUCGUGUCCAGCUGAGCCCAGAUGCUUUCGGCCCCUCUCUCCUCUAUUCUCACGCCAAGCCCCUCUUACAGGCCACAAGGACGCCACUGUCGCUCCCUGCUCCCACUCGGUAAACAGUGUCAUCUAUGCGGGGUCUAAUCUCUGUCUGUGAGUGUGUGUGUGUGUGUGUGUGUGUGCGUGUGCGUGCGUGUGUGUGUGUGGGACAGCGCUCAGCCUCUCAUCUCGCAGCACGGGUGAAAUAGUGAGAGUUUCCAAAGAGGACGUCGUGCAUUAUUAAAGCCAAGUGAUGUCAUCGUUGUUAAAGCAGCAGCCAGAGGUCAGAGCCUAGUGAAGAUGAGGAGUCUUUGAAGAAGAGAGGAAGACCCCGUCUGCACCACAUUCAUGUUCAUCACUAGACACUAGCGCCAGAUUGCAGGUCGUUCUACUGUGACUUGCCUUUACUCUCCUUCUAUCAGCAUUAACAGCUGUUAGUCAUAUGGACAGAAUGUGCAGCCUAACGGCGUCGAGCAGGUGCUUGACACCUGUCAUCAUCAGCGUGUGACUAGACGAAGAAGGGAAGAGUAGGAUGACCGCAAUCCUUUUAUUUUGAAAAGGCCAUCAAAGAGGAAACGUGAAUGAAGACUUUUGCUGAUGAGCAAUUAACUAAGUUCUGCCUAAUUAUUACUGAUUAGGUUGUAAUUGAUGAGGAAUAAUGACUAAAACACAGCAUUCAAGCUGUAAUGAUCCAAAUCCAGCACCAGCCUUUUUCCUCAGUCAGCUUUUAAAAUCUGGGUCGUGAAUAAAUCUUUGUUUUACUGUAGCUUGUAGCGUCCUGCGUGUCGUCUGCCCAUCUGUGCUUCAUCCCCACUGCUCCUGUAGAAAAAGCCCACCUCAGCAACCUACUUAUUUAACCCCAAUCUCUAAAUCCAGGGACGUUGUCCUACUUUAAGUGGUUUCGUCAAAAAAAAAAAAACAUCCAAAAAACAAA